AUACGCUCGUCUCAAAGAUUAAGCCAUGCAUGUGUAAGUAUAAAUAUUUAACUUUGAAACUGCGAAUGGCUCAUUAUAUCAGUUAUAGUUUAUUUGAUGAAAAGUACUACUUGGAUAACCGUAGUAAUUCUAGAGCUAAUACAUGAUAAAAUCCUCGACUUUGAAGAGGUGUAUUUAUUAGAAUGAAACCAAUAGACUUCGGUCUGUUUGUGAGUAAUAAUAACUAAUCGUAUCGCAUGCUUAGGUAGCGAUAUGUCUUUCAAGUUUCUGCCCUAUCAGCUUUGGAUGGUAGUGUAUUGGACUACCAUGGCAGUAACGGGUAACGAAGAAUUUGGGUUCGAUUUCGGAGAGGGAGCCUGAGAGAUGGCUACCACAUCCAAGGAAGGCAGCAGGCGCGUAAAUUACCCAAUCCUGACAUAGGGAGGUAGUGACAAUAAAUCACAAUGCGGAACUAUUAGUUUUGCAAUUGGAUUGAGAACAAUGUACAAAUGUUAUCGAUAAACAAUUGGAG
rnacentral:rRNA from 1 species